rnacentral:rRNA from 1 species
UAGUACGAGAGGACCGGGAUGGACCGACCUAUGGUGUACCAGUUGUUUCGCCAGAAGCAUAGCUGGGUAGCUAAGUCGGGACGGGAUAAACGCUGAAAGCAUCUAAGCGUGAAGCCUCCUUCAAGAUGAGAUUUCCCAUAGCGUAAGCUAGUAAGACCCCUUGAAGACUACAAGGUUGAUAGGUCAGAGGUGUAAGUGUGGCAACAUAUUUAGCUGACUGAUACUAAUAGGUCGAGGGCUUGACCAAUAA